rnacentral:rRNA from 1 species
GAUGAACGCUGGCGGCGUGCUUCACACAUGCAAGUCGAACGGAAAGGCCCAAGCUUGCUUGGGUACUCGAGUGGCGAACGGGUGAGUAACACGUGGGUGAUCUGCCCCGCACUUCGGGAUAAGCCUGGGAAACUGGGUCUAAUACCGGAUAGGACAGUAGUUUGGAUGCCAUUGUGGAAAGUUUUUUCGGUGUGGGAUGAGCUCGCGGCCUAUCAGCUUGUUGGUGGGGUAAUGGCCUACCAAGGCGUCGACGGGUAGCCGGCCUGAGAGGGUGUACGGCCACAUUGGGACUGAGAUACGGCCCAGACUCCUACGGGAGGCAGCAGUGGGGAAGAUGGCACAAUGGGCGCAAGCCUGAUGCAGCGCCGCCGCGUGGGGGAUGACGGCCUUCGGGUUGUAAACUCCUUUCGCUAGGGACGAAGCGUUAUGUGACGGUACCUAGAGAAGAAGCACCGGCUAACUACGUG